AGUCUCUUUUGGCAGGAUUUUCUAUGACAGAACAACACAGGGAAGUUGUUAUGGCAAGUAUUUGGUGUUCAAGCAGCAACUUUCUGCCUCUAUGGCAUUCGUGAGCUUGAACAAAUAAUGUGGAAUGCAUUUAAGCUUGCAGUGAAAGAGAAGGUUUGGUGCCUUUAUCCCAACAAGAAUACUCCAACAAAGUCGGUUCAUGACCUUUAGUCAAGAUUCUUCACCAGUUCAACAAGGUGGUAAUUUUCAUGUUGAUUCUACACAGACAAAUGGAGAUAAAACUCUGCACUUUGUUUUACUUGAUGGUACAUGGAACAACUCUGCUGCCAUG